GUAACAAUCAACUGCUAAUCUACAGGUGCUUGGAAGAAAUAUUGAUAAUAAUGUUGGGAAGAUUAUCAGGGAAGUAUCAUUGGAUAGCCAUAUCAUCCCUGAUGAGUCCCACGGAGAGCAUCCUGCCCUUGCGCCCUCAACCUCUUCCUCUGAUCAUGCGACGGGGUUCUUUCUUACCUACUCACUCAUUUCAAGCUAAUGGCUGAAGAUCUUGCUUAUGUAGUUAUGUUAGCCCACUUUUGUCGUUUAACCUGGGAGGGCAUGUUCCAUGUCUCAAGAGAAAGGGGAGGAAUUUUUCAAGUAUUGCUCUAAAGUUUAUGAGGAUGGUGCAGCUAGCAGUGGGACUGGUAUUUAAUAUUUACAUAGAUUAUGAAGGCUUAAAUAUAUAGGUGUACUCAUGUUUUAGUUUCCAUAUCCCUUCCAGCGUUCUUGUGCUUUCUUUAACCUUGGUUGUGGUACAAUUUCUAAAGAUUAAAAAUAAUUGAGAGUUGGGGCGCUAAUCUAUCUUCUAUAUAUAUAUGGGUUAUUGGGCAAUCGCAAGAAGAAUGAUGGUUGUUUUAUUGUGUCUCUUCCUUAAUGUGGUCAAUCCAGUGAUGCAACUGCUCCAUUGAGUUUCAAGCUGAAAAUUGGUCAUCCAAAUGGCCCUUAAGCGGUUCUAUGCCUAUCCGCUAGCUACGGUUCUCAGGUUUGCAUCAAUGAAGAUAACAUGGAUACUUCGGCUUUGUGAGACAGGUUCGAUGGCACAAAGCACCCUAGUGAGCUGCUGAACGAGAGAGGGCGCAGGUUCAAAUCAAAUGAAAUCAGGAUAGCAACAGUUCAGGAGCUGGUUAAUCUUAACAGUCAUGUUAACCGGGAUAAACAAUGCCAGUGCAAGAUCACGAUCGAUGGCAUACAACCUAGCGAGAACUGGUGGUUCCGGUCUUGUGAUGAAUGCACCUGGGGAAUGCAGCCAGAUGGCGACAGCUCUAAGUGCACGAAAGAAGGUUGCACCAAUAAGAGUAUAUGGGGUGCCUAAUAUAGCUUCCGACAGAUGCGCAUCUCUCCAGAUGGUUCUGUUUGGUGAAGUUGCAUGACAGAUGAUCGUCAAAAACGCCAAACGCCCUUGUGGCUGAAUCCUAUGGCCUUUUUAACGCCAUGCCUACUGAAAUUACUUGCUUGGUUGGAAGGAUGUCCACUUUUCGUUUCGGCUGGAGAACAUCUCCUAGGUCCCUAAAUUUUACCCCGAGGGCAGCACUGUUUUCCUUAGCUUUGAAGGAGCAACACCUGUUCUCGCUGAUACUGAUCCCGGAGAGGCUUCUAUGUCAUAUGUGCCUACUGGGAAAGACAUAGGCACAGGGCGUUGGUGCACACCUUGCUCCAUGUGGGCCAUCUAUUCCGCCUCCUCCUGCUAUGGAGGCACCUAGCAAGGAAGUGGUAGAAGCUAAAGGAGUCGGCGCUGCUACUCCUAACGAUGCUAUGCAUGGGAUCGACGGGCAAGAGGGCUCUUGAUGGAUUGGUUAACCCUUCAGCUUUGAAAAAACUUUUCAGUGGCAAGCUGGAUGAAUGUUCUGAUAGGCGCUCUGCUGAUUAGCCCUCCCGUUACCGCUCCGUCUUGUUUGGUCUUCGGGUGGUGAGCUUGGUCGGCUGCUUGACGCAUCUGUUCCAGUUGAGAAGCUGGCUUUCUUGGCGUUUUGUGUAGUUUAUUAAGUUUAGCCUGUGAAACGUUUGGUCUGUGCCUGAACAACAUGGUCUGCAUCGUGUUUUGUGUAGAUUGUGCCUGUAAUAUAUUUAUAUUUAUGCA